rnacentral:rRNA from 1 species
GCCAGACUCCUACGGGAGGCAGCAGUGGGGGAUAUUGCACAAUGGGGGGAACCCUGAUGCAGCGACGCCGCGUGGGUGAAGGAGCGUUUCGGCGCGUAAAGCCCUAUCGGCAGGGAAGAAGGAGGACGGUACCUGACUAAGAAGCCCCGGCUAACUACGUGCCAGCAGCCGCGGUAAUACGUAGGGGGCAAGCGUUAUCCGGAUUUACUGGGUGUAAAGGGGGCGCAGACGGCAGCGCAAGCCAGGGGUGAAAGCCCGGGGCCCAACCCCGGGACUGCUCUUGGAACUGCGCGGCUGGAGUGCAGGAGGGGCAGGCGGAAUUCCUGGUGUAGCGGUGAAAUGCGUAGAUAUCAGGAGGAACACCGGUGGCGAAGGCGGCCUGCUGGACUGCGACUGACGUUGAGGCCCGAAAGCGUGGGGAGCAAACAGGAUUAGAUACCCUUGUAU